UACGAAGGGGACUAGCGUUGCUCGGAAUCACUGGGCGUAAAGCGCACGUAGGCGGCUUGUUAAGUCAGGGGUGAAAUCCUGGAGCUCAACUCCAGAACUGCCUUUGAUACUGGCGAGCUUGAGUUCGGGAGAGGUGAGUGGAACUGCGAGUGUAGAGGUGAAAUUCGUAGAUAUUCGCAAGAACACCAGUGGCGAAGGCGGCUCACUGGCCCGAUACUGACGCUGAGGCGCGAAAGCGUGGGGAGCAAACAGG
rnacentral:rRNA from 1 species